rnacentral:tRNA from 1 species
GUACAUAUAGUUUAACAAAAACACUAGACUGUGGCUCUAGAGAUAAGGGUUAAAGCCCCCUUAUGAACC